UUUCAAAUGGUACAAUUAGUUCCCUCUCUCACAAAUCUUUUAGCAGCGCUCGAUGCUCUCUUCAUCUUGUCUACGAAGCCAGUGGGGCGCAAUCCAAAGAACAAAGAUAUUUACCCACUGAAUCAAAGGACAUUCUAGCGCAAUGAAUCGAUCAUCCAGGAUUUGAGCUAAUUGCCACGGUGAUGUAAAUUCAUCAAGGGGUAAAUCCUCUUCCAGUGCAAAGGUUUCAGCAUUGAUGGGCUAUUUUUAUAGCAUUGAGGAAGGAAACUGCAUCAAUUGAAGAACAUUUGCAGCUCUGAGUAUCAGUUGGAUUUAAGCAAAGAGGUGCUAGCCUUGAGAACAAUAAACAUGGUUGGCUCAAUGACAACUGCUAUAUGGCCCAGGACUAUUGUUUACAGAAAUAUCAGUACAAUAUAUACAGAAAUAGUAAGGGUCCUUGGCAUUCUUAUUGUUAGAGGUGAUUCUCUUGCAGUUCUUACUUGAUAUAGAUACUAGUGGAAUUUAUGCCUUAAAAAUUUUGAUUAAGUACCUCAAGAAAUAAGAUGAAGUAAGCUGAUAGUAUAUAAAUUCUAUUUUUUGCGUCAAGUUUUGGCACUUUCUUGUUGCUUCUUUUGCUUGAAAUUAGCUCCAGAAGAUUAUGCGCAAUGGCUUGUUUAUUUAACUUAUUAUUAGUUUAUAUUUUGUAGUUCAUUUCCUCUACUUCAGUUUCUAGUGUUGUUAUUAGCUUUCAGCUGGUGCAAGUUUAACUUCUGCGAAUCAUUGGGCUGGAUUACAACUCAUAGUUUAUUUGUUUAAUGCUAGAAAGCUUAUAGAGGCUGACGUAUACUCUAAUAGUUAUGUAGGUGAAAUUUUCAUGAAUAUAUGGCUAGAUUUUAUGCUGCCAAGUAGAGUUUGGAGCAUAGUGAUAUGGAGAUCGAGUGUGUUUCACCCAUGGAUGUAAGAGUAUCAUUAAGUGACAACAUACAAAUCACCAAGCAAGUACUUUUCACUUUUAUAUAUUUAUUUGUUGAGGAACUACUCUAGUCUCUAGAUUGUCUAGUGUUUAAGUUAUCAUAUAUGUGUUUGUAUAAUUUAGUUUGUAAUGUUUGUUGCUAUAGAUAUUUGUAAGGGAAUUUGAGUUAUCAUAUAUGUGUUUGUAUAAUUUAGUUUGUAAUGUUUGUUACUAUAGAUAUUUGUAAUGGAAUUAGAGUUACUAAUUUAGUAAACAAUUAUUUAUUGAA